AUCACAGAAUGUACUCACACAGAUCUAGAUGGCAUAGCCUACUCCGUACCUAGGCUGUAUGGAAUAGCCAAUUACUCCUAGGCUACAAACCUGUACAGUCUGUUACUGUACUGAAUACUGUAGGCAAUUGUAACACAAUGGUACUUGUGUAUCUAAACAUAGAAAGUCCCCAGAUAGCAGAUGACUGGUAGGAAGAUGAGGCAAGUUUGCGGUCCAUUGUCAUGGAUAGUGGAGACAACACUGGGCCAGAAGUGGUAAGACCUGAAUCCAAGACUCAGCUCUGCCACUUGCUAAAUGGGACUUUGAAUAAACCAUUUCUCUGCACUUAAGUUCCUUACCAACAAAACGAGGGAAGUGGCCUACAUGCCUAGAUAUCAACAUUUCAUGUCACGUAGAGAUCUAGCAUCACAAGAAUCCAAGUCAUCCUCUGUUGCCUUUAAGAAAUUAGAAUUAAAGGAAUCAGAAUUGAAGUGAAUCUGACUACACUAAGCCUAUCACUUGUGACAGCCAUGGGAAGAUAUCAUUGGUUGCUGAGGAGCAGAAAUAAGCAGAGACCUAUUGUGUUAGGUUAUCAUUCAUUUCAGACAAAAAGCAGAUCAGCAAGUUUUCAUAUUGCACUAUUUUCAAUGGCUGGAGCAUCAACAUUUUACAACAAGAAAAAAAUUAAAAUUCUUCAACAUUUGGAAAAGAAGUGUUUGUAAAACUUUUCACAUCCAUUCACCAUCCGGAAAAGCAAGGUUUUACAGUGAGGCCUGAUGAUGUCUAGAGUCACCAUGCAUCUUGGAAAAUGACCUCCUAUUUAUUUCUUCUACAGGACACCAUGGUGUUCACCUUUCUACAACUUUACACUUGCUGAGGACAUAUUGUGGAAAAUUAAGAGAAAUAUAUAUGGAUGGCCAAGGCUGUAGAUGGAUGUCCAAGCCUUUUUACUGGGGAAUGUUUUCAGAACAAAAUGAGUUACAGGUUCAAGAGUGAAACCCAACAAAUCUUGGCUCUUUUUUUCUCUACUAAAUUCCAAAUCAAAAGUA
ensembl:lncRNA LINC02207 long intergenic non-protein coding RNA 2207